UACGUAGGGUGCAAGCGUUGUCCGGAAUUAUUGGGCGUAAAGAGCUUGUAGGCGGUUUGUCGCGUCUGCUGUGAAAUUUCGGGGCUCAACCCCGAACUUGCAGUGGGUACGGGCAGACUAGAGUGUGGUAGGGGAGACUGGAAUUCCUGGUGUAGCGGUGAAAUGCGCAGAUAUCAGGAGGAGCACCGAUGGCGAAGGCAGGUCUCUGGGCCACUACUGACGCUGAGAAGCGAAAGCAUGGGGAGCGAACAGG
rnacentral:rRNA from 1 species